UACGUAGGGGGCAAGCGUUGUCCGGAUUUAUUGGGCGUAAAGAGCGUGUAGGCGGCCGUACAGGUCAGCUGUGAAAACUCGAGGCUCAACCUCGAGACGCCGGUUGAAACCGUACGGCUAGAGUCCGGAAGAGGAGAGUGGAAUUCCCGGUGUAGCGGUGAAAUGCGCAGAUAUCGGGAAGAACACCCGUGGCGAAGGCGGCUCUCUGGGACGGUACUGACGCUGAGACGCGAAAGCGUGGGGAGCGAACAGG
rnacentral:rRNA from 1 species